GCGGUUUCUUUUUCACAUAACUGUAGUAUCUUAGAUCUGCUUGUGAAGAACUUUGAUUGUCUGAAAAAAUGAUUGAUGCAGAUAAAAAGUGAAUCCAAACACUUUGUGGUUUUGCUUUACCUUCUGGAACAUAUACAGCUUUGAAAUGCAAAAAUGUUGUUGAUUUUUGUGAGAUAUUUUUGUGGGAUCCGGUUGGGGUACGGUAGUGACCAAGAACACAAGAAGCGGUCACACUUAUUAAUCGUCUGUCUCUGACCGAACAUAUCGAUAGCAGGAGUACUCGGUUGCAACGGGAGAAAGAGGGACAACGGCCAGCGACAGUCGCCGCCAGAGUAUCGUAAUAUAAUACAUAAUACUACCAUUGGAUAAAGUUUGAGCUCAAUAUUUCACAAGGGAGACGCGCCAUUGCAAGAAGGCAAGGUAAAGCGCAGGAAGCGAUAGGCGGCGACCAACUCAACCAAUACUACCAUACACAAGGGGGUAAAGACAAUCUGGAGCAAGGAAGGGCUGAGAAAGAGAUUGUCGAUACGUGCUGUAGAACUUGGACAAGAAGCAUCUCGUGGACCGGUGGUGCAGGCAGCGAAGACGCAGAGACAAGACAUUGGAUCUGGUUGCGUCAUCGGUGGAUGUGUGCAGGAACGUAUAGGCCAAGGGCUGGUGCACGAAUUUUGGCAGACCAGGUGCUAAUAGGUGCUCCUCAUUCAAGGAACACCUGUUUGUCAGUCGUUUGCCAAACGUUGCCGAAAGAGGUUGUGUAGCUCACGAUUUUUUCAUUGUCUUCUUAUUUUACUUCAUUGUUUACGAAGACAAUGAAAUAUGCAUGCAACUACUAUUCUAUUUUGGAUGUGUAAUGAAAUGUGUAUGUAAUAGAAUCUAUAUUCAGUUAAAUCUUUUGUUUUUGUAAAAUGGAGAGAAGCGAGAUCUUGGCAUUGCGAGUUUGAGAGUUGCGUUGGAAGUUGUAUGAGUUGCAAUUGAGUACGACUGGAUUAAAGGUGGAAUUGCAACAGAGAUUAUUGUCACAUUACGAAGUAUAUAUCGAGGGUGAGUCAGAGACGGAGGAUAAUGGUGAGAAGACAUUAUAUUGGUGUCAUCCGUGUCAACUACAAUCAAUCGACAAAACAGAGCAGGCUGGCAUCAAGGGCUAGGAGUUGAGAGACCAGGUAGAUCGUGGUUCACCCUUAAAGAUGUCGAGGGCAGCGUAAGUCAGUUCUCAGGAUCGAAGUCCCCGGAUAUCGAUCAAUGGAUAGGAGAGUUGGAAGAUUGUGCAGCUACAGUUGAGUUCGAAGUCGAGAUUAUUUUCUAUAGCAGAACUUUUUUUUAAGAAUUUAUUAUGUAUGAAUUUGUAUACCCGGCACUCGAAGAGUAAAUAGGGUAGAGACACCAAAUGUUGGCUCCGGACUGCUGUAUGCUCACACUGAAACCAGUGUAUUUUAAAAAUGAGCCACGCCCCCUUCCGCCUCCGCAAAAAGGCGAAAACCUCCCAAAUCUACAAUUUUGAAGAUAAAAGAAAACUAAAAACGCCGUUCCGUAGAGAAUGGCCAUAUCUAUCAGAUCACCAAAUUGGAUUGGAUCAUUAUUACAGCCAGAAAGAAGAAAUUAAUUAGCAGUGCCUAAACCCACACUGUCCUGCAGCUUUUGUUGUUCUUUUCACAUUCUUUCAUUCACACUCUGCUUCACUCGGCCCCUGCUGAGGUACAGAUGCACUAUUGUCCCAAUGACCAGUUUUGGUGGCUGUUUACGCCAAUUAGCCAAAUUAUGGCCCGGAG
rnacentral:lncRNA from 1 species